UAUAAUAGUUUGUGAUUUUGUAUAUAUUGUAGUAUAUAAACAAUUAAUGUAUCAUAUAUAGUAUAUAUAUUCAGUAUAUUUAGUGUUGCUUGUUUGGUAUAUUACUAGAAAUUAAUAGAUUAAAUCAGUAUUCAGAAGAGACCAUUUGACAAGAUAAGUGAAUAAUUUUACCUUCUGUAAUCCUUAGGUUGAUGACUUCAUUGUGAGGUAGAAUUCAUUUCUUGCACUACCCUUUGCAGUAUGGUUUUGCUACGCUAAACAGAAGUGAUUGGUCUCCAUUUAUACAUCUGGACAAAAUAUUCUAACUACAGCCCAAGACCCAGUGAAAGAAGCGAAGUAACUAUGAAGCCCAAGAAGAUUUAAACAGAUCCUUCUUGUCAAAAUACAAGCUCAUGCAUUCCAUUUUCUGAUUCCUUUAUUUAACGCACAAGUAAACAAAGGUGAUUCACACAAAAGCCUGCUUAUAUGAUGUACGAACAAUAAACAGAAAGCUAUAAUCAUGUUUUUUCAGAUGUUUCCGGUGCACAACGAUUUUGGAUCGAUACUCUGUGUGUACAAAGCUUAGGAAAUGGCAUGUGAUAUCUUCUUAUGGAUACAUAUUUCAACAUUCCAUCACUUCUGUCAUUAUUAAUAAAAGG